CCUACGGGUGGCAGCAGUGAGGAAUAUUGGUCAAUGGGCGAGAGCCUGAACCAGCCAAGUCGCGUGAAGGAUUAAGGAUCUAUGGUUUGUAAACUUCUUUUAUAUGUGAAUAAAGUGAGGAACGUGUUCCUUUUUGUAUGUACCAUUUUAAUAAGCAUCGGCUAACUCUGUGCCAGCAGCCGCGGUAAUCCGGAGGAUGCGAGCGUUAUCCGGAUUUAUUUGGUUUAAAGGGUGCGUAGGUUGUUAAUUAAGUCAGUGGGGAAAGUUUGUGGCGCAAACAUAAAAUUGACGUUGAUACUGGUUGACUAGAGUAUAUUUGAGGUAAGCGGAAUGCGUGGUGCAGCGGUGA
rnacentral:rRNA from 1 species